rnacentral:rRNA from 1 species
GUAGUCAUACGCUCGUCUCAAAGAUUAAGCCAUGCAUGUGUAAGUAUAAAUAGUUAACUUUGAAACUGCGAAUGGCUCAUUAUAUCAGUUAUAGUUUAUUUGAUGAAGAAUACUAAUUGGAUAACCGUAGUAAUUCUAGAGCUAAUACAUGUAUAAAGUCUUGUAGACUGCAUUUAUUAGAAUGAAAACCAUAGGUUUCGGCCUAUUCGUGAGUAAUAAUAACUAAUCAUAUCGUAUGCUUAAGUAACGAUGUGUCUUUCAAGUUUCUGCCCUAUCAGC